ACCAGUGUGGCAUAGUGGUUUGAGUCUCAGACUAUGACUCUAGAGACUGGGGUUUGAAUCCCUUCAGUCAUG